UAGCUGGUCCCCAAGGCCAAUUUGGGGAUAUAAAGGAGAAAAUGACUCCUAUUACUUAAAUAGUGUUUCAGAAAUGCCCCAGAGUAGAAACAAUGGUCCUUGCUGCACCCGGAUCCACUGUAACCCUCUUCUUUUGCACCCAGCAUCCUGGCCUGCCAGACGGCAGUUCUAGUAAGACGUACUAUGUAAUGAGGAACGUAACUCAAGGCCGGUCACACCAGAGACUUGUGGAAGGGCAGCCGCCAGGCAGGGGACACAGAGGCUCAGCAGAGGAAGACUCCAGUCAGGGCAAGAAUCUCUGAGUCCUUUGGGAAGUGCAGUGCUAGGAUCAUUUUCCUGUUGUCAGCGGCUCUGGAAGAGGCAUUAGCCCCACAAGGCUUGAUGUGGGAAGUUUUUACAGCCCCGACCUCUGCCAUCCCCCAACACAUAGACACACACAGUGUUAUUUCCAGGGAAGAGGAGGAUAGUCCUGGUCAAUAGCAGUGGACACACUGGAGGUUUCCCCUCAAGGGGGACCUUUAUGCGAAGAUGCUCCCAACCUCAUCACAUCUGGGACCUUUUUGCGAAGAUGCUCCCAACCUCAUCACAUCUGGGACCUUUUUGCGAAGAUGCUCCCAACCUCAUCACAUCUGGCCAAAGUGCUUUUAGUCACAAGCGGCAGAACUCAGUUCACAGGAACACAUAUGAAAAGUGGAUGUAGAGAUAACUAUGAGGGAUAUGAGACUUUAAUUAAGCAAAGUACCCGGCCUCGUCAUUCUCUCUCCUCCUGGGCUGUGGUCUCUUGGCUCAGCCUUUCUCUCUUCGUGACUUUGGUUUGCCUAUGGUUUUAUAACAUGGCCCUAACAAGUAAGUCCUCCUUGAUCAUGACAUUUACUUGAGCUCCCUAUGACCAAACAGAGUCUGCUUUUUAAUUUCAAACUCUUAAGAGAGAAAAACCGGAUGGCUGUUUAUUGCCAACACGUUGGCUGGCCUUGGGUACUUAUUCCUGGUCUAGUUAGCCGCGGCUGAGGAGCAGAGCAUGUGGUAUGAAACACAUAUAAGGUAGCAGGGGCUGAAAGUGGGAAACAACUUCUCUGAGAAGCAACCCAAGCUGGUAUUCCACCCAAGGUGUGCCUGAUGCACCCCCUGUGUGGUUCUGGGAUUCACCCGAGGGACAGGUAAUAGCCGUCCUCAGUGACUGUCUCGGCAGAGGCUGGGCUUGGAGCUCAAAGGCCAGGGAAGCAGCAGGUCCACUGAUGCAGCUGCCACCUCCACAGCAUGCUGGGGACAUGGUGACAUUCUCCUAAGAGCACUUACAGAGACAGUGUCCUGUGAAAGCAGC
rnacentral:lncRNA from 1 species